GUGCUAGCUUCAGCAGCACAUAUACUAAAAUUGGAAUGAUACAGAGAUUAGCAUGGCCCCUGUGCAAGGAUGACACAUUAAUUCACGAGCCAGUCUAUAUUUUG